rnacentral:rRNA from 1 species
UACGAAGGGGGCUAGCGUUGCUCGGAAUGACUGGGCGUAAAGGGCGCGUAGGCGGCGCAGUUAGUCAGGCGUGAAAUUCCUGGGCUCAACCUGGGGACUGCGCUUGAUACGGCUGUGCUUGAGGAUGGAAGAGGCUCGCGGAAUUCCCAGUGUAGAGGUGAAAUCGUAGAUAUUGGGAAGAACACCGGUGGCGAAGGCGGCGAGCUGGUCCAUUACUGACGCUGAGGCGCGA